rnacentral:rRNA from 1 species
UACGGGGGGGGCAAGCGUUGUUCGGAAUUACUGGGCGUAAAGGGCUCGUAGGCGGCCAACUAAGUCGGAUGUGAAAUCCCCAGGCUUAACCUGGGAACUGCAUCCGAUACUGGAUGGCUUGAAUUCGGGAGAGGGAUGCAGAAUUCCAGAUGUAGCGGUGAAAUGCGUAGAUAUCGGGAGGAACAUCAGUGGCGAAGGCGGUCACCUGGACGAUAACUGACGCUGAGGCUCGAAAGCGUGGGGAGCAAACAGG